AGAUCAUUCUCAAAAUUCUGAUGUUCUUCCACAUUUAUCUCCAGCACCAUGAAAAACUACCUUUUGCAUCAAGGGAGAUGGUCUCCUCCUAGCCUCACUAUCCUCGGUCGUUCUUAAUUCCCCACCAUUACUUCAACUACAAGAAAUCUCAGUUCCAAGGGUUCCAAUUUCUGCAUUUUGAAUUGGUAAUCCCAAUUCACCAACAUUACUCCGAGAAUCUUCAGAUAUAUGGAUGUUAGUUUUUAAUGCUUGAAUCGACUCCAACAUCCUACCCAUUUGCUCUUGAACCAACCUG
rnacentral:misc_RNA from 1 species